rnacentral:lncRNA from 1 species
CUUCUACUCUGGGAGUAUGCAUCCACAUAUAUCCACCCAUUUCCAUCUCUAGAACCACCAAAAAAUAUUCUACUCUUAAUCCGGGAAAGAAUAGCCAAAAACAUUCUCCUAUUUCUGUUUUCCCCUGUGAAAUAAAUGCUCAAGUUAUUUUGGUUACUACCACUUGCUACAUUAUUUAAAGAGGUGAGUGCUCUAUAAAAAGAAGAUACGAGGAAAUAAAAAGGGGCAAGUUCCCGGAACCUCGAAAGAAAAGAAAAAAAGUGAGACGAGAGGUAAAAAUGGACAAGUGUCCGACAAUAGAAUUAGGGGUACAAAAUACCCACCUGAGAGAAAAGAAAAAGAAAAUAUAGAGCAUCUCAUUCUCGUCAAAAAAGUUUCAAAAGAGCAAGAAAGGUAUGUAUCCCUCAAAUGAGCACAAGUAGAAUUAGACUUUCACCAUUGUUAUCACCAUCAUCACCAUACACCAUUC